AUGAACAUGGGACGUCUAAGGUACAUGAACAUGGAUGUCAAAGAUAAAAUAAAACCUAUAUUUUUAUGUUUUCAAAUAUAAACCAGGAACCUCACAUCUUGUGUACUAUACUUGAUGUCUUGCAUUUGAAACAUCAAGGUUCUUGGUUCUGUUAUGGAAGAUAUUGUGACCCUUGUGUUCUGCUAUGUUUAUGUGAGGUUGGUGUUUGUGUUUUCCGCAGCAAUAGGUGUCUAUAUAAAUAAAUGAUUAGACUAGAACUUAGUGGCAGUAACGCUUAGCGUUGUGUGUAUGUUGAUGAUAUAGGUACAUG
rnacentral:lncRNA from 1 species